rnacentral:rRNA from 1 species
UAUAACAGCCAUAUCACCCUGCAGCCCAAGACUAUUUGCCCACUGAAGCUAAGCAGGGUCGAGCCUGGUCAGUACCUGGAUGGGAGACCUCCUGGGAAAACUAGGUUGCUGUUGGAA